CCUACGGGAGGCAGCAGUGAGGAAUAUUGGACAAUGGACGCAAGUCUGAACCAGCCAUGCCGCGUGCAGGAAGACGGCUCUAUGAGUUGUAAACUGCUUUUGUACGGAGGUAAACGCAGGUGCGCGUAUCUGUCUGAAAGUAUCGUACGAAUCAGGAACGGCUAACUCCGUUCCAGCCGCCGCGGUAAUACGGAGGAUGCAAGCGUUAUCCGGAUUUAUUUGGUUUAAAGGGUGCGUAGGCGGUCGGAUAAGUUAGAGGUGAAAUCCCGAGGCUCAACUUCGGAAUUGCCUCUGAUACUGUUCGGCUAGAGUGUAGUAGCGGGAGGCGGAAGGGAUGGUGUAGCGGUGAAAUGCUUAGAGAUCAGACAGAACACCGAUUGCGAAGGCAGCUUACCAAGCUACUUCUGACGUUGAGGUACGAAAGCGUGGGGAGCAAACAGGAUUAGAUACCCGGGUAGUC
rnacentral:rRNA from 1 species